rnacentral:rRNA from 1 species
UAGGGAAUCUUCGGCAAUGGGGGCAACCCUAACCGAGCAACGCCGCGUGAGUGAAGAAGGUUUUCGGAUCGUAAAGCUCUGUUGUAAGAGAAGAACGUGUGUGAGAGUGGAAAGUUCACACCGUGACGGUAACUUACCAGAAAGGGACGGCUAACUACGUGCCAGCAGCCGCGGUAAUACGUAGGUCCCGAGCGUUGUCCGGAUUUAUUGGGCGUAAAGCGAGCGCAGGCGGUUUAAUAAGUCUGAAGUUAAAGGCAGUGGCUUAACCAUUGUUCGCUUUGGAAACUGUUAAACUUGAGUGCAGAAGGGGAGAGUGGAAUUCCAUGUGUAGCGGUGAAAUGCGUAGAUAUAUGGAGGAACACCGGUGGCGAAAGCGGCUCUCUGGUCUGUAACUGACGCUGAGGCUCGAAAGCGUGGGGAGCAAACAGG